UCUAGAGUNUCGGAGAGGAAAGUGGAAUUCCUAGUGUAGCGGUGAAAUGCGUAGAUAUUAGGAAGANCACCAGUGGCGAAGGCGACUUUCUGGACGAAAACUGACGCUGAGGCGCGAAAGCCAGGGGAGCGAACGGGAUUAGAUACCCCGGUAGUCCUGNCCGUAAACGAUGGGUACUAGGUGUAGGAGGUAUCGACCCCUUCUGUGCCGGAGUUAACGCAAUAAGUACCCCGCCUGGGGAGUACGACCGCAAGGUUGAAACUCAAAGGAAUUGACGGGGGCCCGCACAAGCGGUGGAGUAUGUGGUUUAAUUCGACGCAACGCGAAGAACCUUACCAGGUCUUGACAUUGAUGGACAGAACUAGAGAUAGUUCCUCUUCUUCGGAAGCCAGAAAACAGGUGGUGCACGGUUGUCGUCAGCUCGUGUCGUGAGAUGUUGGGUUAAGUCCCGCAACGAGCGCAACCCCUAUCUUAUGUUGCCAGCACUUCGGGUGGGAACUCAUGAGAGACUGCCGCAGACAAUGCGGAGGAAGGCGGGGAUGACGUCAAAUCAUCAUGCCCCUUAUGACCUGGGCUACACACGUACUACAAUGGGAGUUAAUAGACGGAAGCGAAACCGCGAGGUGGAGCAAACCCGAGAAACACUCUCUCAGUUCGGAUCGUAGGCUGCAACUCGCCUACGUGAAGUCGGAAUCGCUAGUAAUCGCAGGUCAGCAUACUGCGGUGAAUACGUUCCCGGGCCUUGUACACACCGCCCGUCACACCACGAAAGUCGGAAGUGCCCAAAGCCGGUGGGGUANCCUUCGGGA
rnacentral:rRNA from 1 species